rnacentral:rRNA from 1 species
UACGUAGGGGGCAAGCGUUGUCCGGAUUUAUUGGGCGUAAAGCGCACGCAGGCGGUCUUUUAAGUUUUGAGUGACAGGUGGGGGCUUAACCCUCGCAGUGCUUAAAAAACUGGAAGACUUGAGGACGAGAGAGGGACGCGGAAUUCCAGGUGGAGCGGUGAAAUGCGUAGAGAUCUGGAAGAACACCAAAGGCGAAAGCACUCUGCUGGGCCGACACUGACACUGAGAGACGAAAGCUAGGGGAGCGAAUGGG